ACAAGCCACCUUUUUUCUACCAGUAGGCCUAUUCAAGAUGCGAAAACGGGUAUUACAUAAUAUAUUAUGUGACCUCAAAUUUUCUUUUACAGAGACCAAGUUUUAACAUUGUAUCCCGAAACUGAACGUCAGGUGGAUAUUAUUCGAAAGCUUGGAGAAAGAGAUGGCUUGGUUGAUUUCUGGAGUCCGGACAGCGGAGAUCUUGUUCGAGUGGAUAGUGCUGUAGACAUCCAGUUCCCAAGGGUACAAUUAGACGAACUGAAAGCUCUUAUGGACAACAAUGAAAUUGAAUACAAGAUAAAAAUCCACGAUGUGCAAAGUCUGAUCGAGAAUCAGGUGAAAGGACGAAAGGACGCAAAGAGGUCAUUGACCCACAAUUACAACGUUUAUCACCCGCUCGAAGAGAUAUAUGAGUGGGUUGAUGAUAUAGCAAAUGAAUAUCCGGAUCUCGUGACGAAAUCAAUUCUUGGAAACUCAUACGAGGGAAGAGAAAUUCCGAUGCUUACUAUCACGAAAGACAUAAACAAUCCCGUUGUUUUCAUAGAUUGUACUUUUCAUGCAAGAGAAUGGAUAAGGUCCUGCCGUCUGUCAGUGUUUCACUAGAAAUCUUCUGCAAGGAUAUGGAAAGGAUCCGAUCUUCACCAGACAUUUAGAUAGAUUGACGUUUUACGUCAUACCGGUUGUAAAUGUGGAUGGUUAUGCUUACUCAUGGCUCGAGAAUCGUAUGUGGAGAAAAAACCCGUUCGAAUUAUGGUACGAUAUGUGACGGAGUCGAUCCAAACAGAAACUUCAAACGCAAUUUUGGGGGCCAAGGUUCAUCUGGAACCUUGCGAUAAUACCUACAGAGGGCCUGCGAUGGAUCAUGAAAUUGAAGAUCCAUAACUGGGCGGAGCAUUUGCGAUCAGUUGCAAACAAGACUAUGAUAUACUUGAGUUUCCACAGCUAUUCUCAAUUGAUCGUUUUGCCGCAUUCCUAUACGUUCGAUAUAACUCCCACCAUCGAUGUUUUAGAGAAAUACGCCAAGCAAGCGGCUACUGCAUUAGGAGAAGUUUUUGGAACAGUGUACACAUAUGGACAGGGAUCAAGCAAUCUUUACUUAGUUUCUGGAGGAUCAAAGGACUACGCGUACGACAUAGGAAUCCCCUGGACCUGCACCUUUGAAUUACGAGAUACCGGAUACCACGGAUUCUUGCUACCGGAAGAGCAGAUUGAGCCAAGUUGCGUCGAAACUACAGGCCGCUGUGAAAGAAACUUUCUGAUGCGGCACUGGAAUGUGGUACAACAGAAACCUGUGAAGUAUUCACAUUCUCGCUAUAGCUUCGAUUUACAAU